rnacentral:rRNA from 1 species
UACGGGGGGGGCAAGCGUUGUUCGGAAUUACUGGGCGUAAAGGGCUCGUAGGCGGCCAACUAAGUCCGACGUGAAAUCCCCAGGCUUAACCUGGGAACUGCGUCGGAUACUGGAUGGCUUGAAUCCGGGAGAGGGAUGCGGAAUUCCAGGUGUAGCGGUGAAAUGCGUAGAUAUCUGGAGGAACACCGGUGGCGAAGGCGGCAUCCUGGACCGGCAUUGACGCUGAGGAGCGAAAGCGUGGGGAGCGAACAGG